UUAAAGCCACAAAAGGGAAACUAAUGGCGAGGAUGUUUUUUGUUUUGACUGUUUUUCUUUUUUGAGCAAAUAUAUUAAACAAAUCCUAUAAAUAAAAUACACUGUAAAAAGUUCUUCAAGGGUGUUGUCCAUAGGAAUUAAUUUUAAAAAGUAUAUUUCUUCCAAUAAAUUGAUUACCUUUCCAUUUUGAAUUAAUUUAAGUUUUACAUAAGUAAAAAUUGCGAUUGUUUUUGUAACUUAUUAUUACCCAUCAAAAAAUUGUGUUUUACUGACCUUCAAAAUAAAUUGCUUCUACAAAACUCUAUUUAAGUGUUUAUAUCCAAAGUAAAACUUCACGACCCGCCCACAUGACGCAGCAGGCAUGCAGAGCAACGACACCGUUGCUCAUACCUGUACCGGACAAGUUUCGACGUUCUGUGGAGUUUUUGAGGGCUUUAUACAACGUGUAACACAUAGAGAUGUCAGAAGCAUAAAUGACAUGAUGGCUAGGACAUAUAGCUGGGGGAGAAUGGAUUGGUUGUCCAGAGCCCAGAUGUGCAAAAAUUAAAGAAAGAUGGCCUGCCCAGAUAAACGAAGAAUUCCAAAGGUGUACUGGUGUUCCACAAGAAUCGGUUUUUAUUUCCCAGCUGGACAAAUACACUCCAAAACUUCUUGACCUGUUUAGUGCGAAGGGUGCAGCGACUGGUGAAAACAUCAAUUGGAGUUAUUGGAACUGAUACAGGAUUCAAGUACCUCUGUGGUGAGGAACAGAGACGUGGCUCUGAGAUGCCUCAUUGAAUACAUGGGAGAGAGUGGGCAAAAGCUGAUCUCUGACUACUAUGGAAAAACAGAGAGCAGUGUCUAUGAAGACUUGGAAAUGCGCAAUAUGCAGAUAUAUGUCUGCCGUGUUCCAGAUGUUGUGGGCAUCAUCAUUGAGGGCAUCCCUGUGCUUACUCGUCUUGGAAACCACGCCAGGGCUAUGAACUUGCAGUAUCCACCACAACUCAGCAAAACAUUUCAGGUGUUUCAAAGACAUUUUGUGGGACUUGACACACUGCGUCCAAAGUCUUCCUCCUGAUUCAUGACACAAAAACUUCUGAAUUAGUUAAUUAGUUGCCGCUCAGAGGUUCUGUUUCUUUGCUUCAUCACUUUUGUUCAAUGGACAGUUUGACUUGGAACAAUGUGGUAGUCACGCACCGACUUCUUCAGUUUCUGGAUAAGUCUGCAGCAAAUAUGGGCAUUUGAUUUGCUUUUGUAUAUAUGGGGCAAAGUUUGUUUUGUUAUGUCAAAUGCUGAGAUCAGAGGCACUUAAUUUUUUUUAUUUCAAUGUUGUAGUACAUAUGAAAAUGUACUGUACUGUGUACACAACAGGCAUCAGUUGGACACCUCAAACCCCCAUGAGGAUCCACACACACACACAAACACACACACACACACACACACGCUCAGUUUUAAUGGGUAAAGUUUAAUAGGGAUACAGCUGCAGAUACUCGCAUCAUUCAUUCAUUUUCCUUCAGCUUAGUCCUUCAUUUAUCAGGAGUUGCCACAGCGAAAUGAGCCAUCAACUACUCUGGCAUAUGUUUUACAC